ensembl:lncRNA
GGUCUUGCACUCUUUUUAGGUGCGGCGAAAGAAAGACCGGUGGAACCGUAUAUAUAUUCCUGAUUAGGCCUUUGUGUCUGUUCUGCGCCGCUGAGAUAUGAAGACAAAAACAUGCAGAAAGACAGGAAGGAAGAAUGGAGAUCCAGUGGAUGAGGGGAUCAGAGGGGGUGACAACCGAAGAAUGAGCUCAAAAUGAGUCUUUUUUUUCUGAGGUUAUCAGGUGCGCACAGAGAGGGGCGGGGCUGAUGUGAGAGACGUGAGGAGUGUGAAGAGAGGCUGUGGGUUUGAAGAGAGGCUGUGGGUUUAAAGGUUUGAAGAGAGGCUGUGGUUUUAAAGGUGUGAAGAGAGGCUGUGGGUUUAAAGGUUUGAAGAGAGGCUGUGGGUUUAAAGGUGUGAAGAGAGGCUGUGGGUUUAAAGGUGUGAAGAGAGGCUGUGGGUUUAAAGGUUUGAAGAGAGGCUGUGGGUUUAAAGGUUU